rnacentral:rRNA from 1 species
UGGGUGGUAAACUCCACCUAAGGCUAAAUACAGGCACGAGUCCGAUAGCGGACAAGUACCGUGAGGGAAAGUUGAAAAGCACUUUGAAGAGAGAGUUCAAGAGUACGUGAAACCGCAUAGAGGCAAACGGGUGGAUCCGCAGAGUCGACCCGGGGAAUUCAGCCCAGCAGCCGCGAGGCCGCCGGCAGCGCGCGAUCCGACAAGGACGUUCGCGCUGGCGCGCUCUCCGGAGGCAGGGUGCACUUUCUCCGGCGUCGAGUGCCACGACCGGUUCCGUCGCGGUCAAGAGCCUGGUGGCAAGGUAGCUCCCGCCUUCGGGUGGGAGUGUUAAGGCCRCCAAGGUGGACGCGCGAUGGGACCGAGGACGCUGCCGCGUCCGCCGGCCUCGGGCCGCGCUAGAGCGUUCGACCGUGGACGCACUCACUCGUAGUGCGCCGCAACCGCGCUUUGGCACGGGCCCGUACGUCGCGGGCGCUUAGGGUCUGUGGCGAAUCGGUCGGUCCUCCACCCGACCCGUCUUGAAACACGGACCAAGGAGUCCAACAUGUGCGCGAGUCAUGGGGUCUUACGAAACCCAAAGGCGCAAUGAAAGUGAAGGCAGUCUCCGAUUGCCCAGGCAGGAUCCCGCCGCUCUCGGGYGGCGGGCGCACUGCCGGCCCGUCUCGGCCGCAUCGUCGGCGAGGCGGAGCAAGAGCGCACACGUUGGGAC